rnacentral:rRNA from 1 species
UACAGAGGUCUCAAGCGUUGUUCGGAUUCAUUGGGCGUAAAGGGGUGCGUAGGUGGCGCCGUAAGUCGGGUGUGAAAUUUCGGAGCUUAACUCCGAAACUGCAUUCGAUACUGCGGUGCUUGAGGACUGGAGAGGAGACUGGAAUUCAUGGUGUAGCAGUGAAAUGCGUAGAGAUCAUGAGGAAGACCAGUGGCGAAGGCGGGUCUCUGGGACAGUUCCUGACACUGAGGCACGAAGGCCAGGGGAGCAAACGGG